rfam:Chryseobacterium bovis DSM 19482 genome assembly, contig: LX71DRAFT_scaffold00050.50
CUUUAGCCCUGAUGGAAGCGGCAUCCUUUUUUGGCAUUGCGAGUGGCAAAUGGUUCUUUAGUUUGCCUGACUUUGUUUGCAAUGACAAAAAAGAUACAGCGGACAGCAGGUUGAAAA